rnacentral:rRNA from 1 species
UUCCGGUUGAUCCCGCCGGAGGUUACUGCUAUCGAGGUUCGACUAAGCCAUGCGAGUCGAAUGUAGCAAUACAUGGCGUACUGCUCAGUAACACGUGGAUAACCUACCCUUGAGAUGGGAAUAAACCCGGGAAACUGGGUAUAAUACCCGAUAGAUCUCGACUGCUGGAAUGCAUCGAGAUCCAAAGCUCCGGCGCUCAAGGAUGGAUCUGCGGCCUAUCAGGUAGUAGUGGGUGUAGUGUACCUACUAGCCUACGACGGGUACGGGUUGUGAGAGCAAGAGCCCGGAGAUGGAUUCUGAGACACGAAUCCAGGCCCUACGGGGUGCAGCAGGCGCGAAAACUUUACAAUGCUGGAAACAGCGAUAAGGGGACCUCGAGUGCCAGGUUACAAAUCUGGCUGUCGUGAUGCCUAAAAAGCAUUGCAUAGCAAGGGCCGGGCAAGACCGGUGCCAGCCGCCGCGGUAACACCGGCGACUCGAGUGGUAACCGUUAUUAUUGGGUCUAAAGGGUCUGUAGCCGGCCGGAUAAGUCUCUUGGGAAAUCUGGCAGCUUAACUGUCAGGCUUUCAGGAGAUACUGUCUGGCUCGAGGCCGGGAGAGGUGAGAGGUACUUCAGGGGUAGGGGUGAAAUCUUGUAAUCCUUGAAGGACCACCAGUGGCGAAGGCGUCUCACCAGAACGGACCUGACGGCAAGGGACGAAAGCUAGGGGCACGAACCGGAUUAGAUACCCGGGUAGUCCUAGCCGUAAACGAUACUCGCUAGGUGUCGGCAACGGUGCGACCGUUGUCGGUGCCGUAGGGAAGCCGUGAAGCGAGCCACCUGGGAAGUACGGCCGCAAGGCUGAAACUUAAAGGAAUUGGCGGGGGAGCACCACAACGGGUGGAGCUUGCGGUUUAAUUGGAUUCAACGCCGGAA